AUGUAAAUAUCAUGGCUGCCACCAGUCAGGGACCGUAAUGGAGAUCGAGUCAAGAGUUGCCCGGAAGGCGCUCAGAGCUUGGGGCUUCGAGGAGGCCUGUCAAAGGACAAAGGGUGUCCUGUAGGUUUUGACAUCGAGUGAAACAAGAACAAAUGUAGGUCUGUUGGGUUCUUGGCACAGUACCAUUUGGUCCUGGACAAAGUAUUGUUAAGAUUGUCGCCAGUAUGAAGGUUGUGAAGUACAAUGGAUGACAUAUCUGGGUUUACUCUGAUCUCUGCCGCUAACUAGCUAAUGUGACUUUGAACAAUCAAAAUCUUUGACCUUUAGUUUUCAUCAUCUAUAACCUGAAGCUAAGACUUCCCCUUUGUAUUUCAUAAAAUUUCUCAAAUGAGAUUGAAACUAUGAGAAAGCUCUGUGAACUCUAAAUGCAUACAUUAUUGUAAGAUUAUGUCCUUUUACACUAAUUGUAUUUGAAAAUGUUUGGACAUUAAGGCACCUCUCUUGCAACACCUGUUGCUUUCUGGUCAUAACUUCCACUCUCCUUGAUUCCUGGUGGAUGGGCUUUAGAGAAAAAAGUACUACAGAAAUCGUGUUAAUGUUUAUGCAAAUAUUUGGUUCUUACUCUUACAUUAUAUCUUAGUUGCUUUCAUUCAGGAGACAAUGUCCUGAAAAAACACUCUUGGAAGGACAAUACAGAUCUUUGGUUUUGAGAUAUGUUUUUGGGCCUUAUAACCAAACCCCCCUUGCUCUGAUAAAGAGAUGCAUAGGCGCUCCAGAUGGGAACAAGUCUUCUGAUACACCGCCCAAACACGGUCAUCGCAGGCACCUACCAGAUGCCAGGGAGGCAAGCUCUAUUUGGAUCCUGAAAAGCAGGAGCUCUUGCCCAGCCUCACCAUUGAACAUUCCCUACCAAAACUCAUGCGCAGAUCCACCCCAUCCACUUAGUGUUCUCUGAAGAGACCAAGUCGUCAACAGGAAAAAUGCUGGGUGGUGCCCAGUCCUGCAGGCUUCAGCAGGUUCAUCUCUAGUCCUUCCCUUGUCCUCAUGCUCAAUGAGCAAAUCUCUACUCUCCACUUGGAUUUUCAUUUUGCACGUAGCCUGCAAAGAGAAAGUUCCCAUUGUGAAUUACUAAAUAUACCUCCUGAUACUAAUUAGAUUCAUCUUCCUAAAAUGUGGUAUCACGUUAUCUUUUCUUCGUCUCCAGUCAAAAAAUCUUCAACACUGUUUGCCUACAAAAUAAAUCCAAAGUUAAGUACUAAAGGCAUAUAUCUGCAUAUGCAUGCAUCUAUGUACUUAUAUUCAAUAUAUUACUUUUAUAACUUUUAGUAUGCCUGAUAUAUAUCAUAAUAUAUAUUUUAAAUACCUUCUGUAACAUAACAAAACAUAACAUUUAAAUACCUUCUGCUACUCCUGCACGAGAUUAGUAUGUCAACCAGGACACCAUUUAUGUUACUUAAUUUUGGAUGGAAGAGCCAAUAAAAUGAAAUGAUAAAAUGAAAUAAGAGCUAUGCAUUUUGGAAAGAAGGAGGCAAAAUUAUCAUUAUUUUGCUAUUGAUCUGAUUGUAUACCUGAAAAACCCAGAGAAAUCAACUGAAUUUUAUUAAAAGUAAAAAGAAUUCAAUAAAUUCUGGAUGGUUAUAAAAUUAAAGUUUUAAAAAAAAUAGCCCAUUUUUUAUUCUAAGUAAUUUUGAUUCAUCUAAAUUUGAGAAAACACAAGCAUGUAUUCAUGUAUUGUUAGUGUUAUUAAAGACAUCUUGAAAACAGAAUAUUGUUCUAAACCUAAAUCACUCAUAUAUACAAAUACUAACCAGAUUAAAAAUAUAAUGGAAAAACAAAUUCCAUUCACAAUUGUGAUAUUAAAAAAGAAAGACGUAAACAUAAAAAGAAAUGUGUAGGAUCUAUAUGAAGGAAACUUUAAAAUUGUGCUGAGGUCAUCAAAGAAGAUUUCAACAUAUGGAAGAGUGUAUCUUACUCUUGGAUAGGAAGAUGUACCCCCAACUGUAUAGCAAGGUUAAAAGAAAAAUUUAACUUGUAAAAAUAUUUGUAACAGGUAAAAUAGCUAGUGGGCUAAUUUCUGACUGUAUGAAUUGCUUUUUAAAACAAGAUUAGAAGAACAGAAGAGAAAUUGGCAAAGGAAUCAACAGCCAUUUCACAGAAGAAUUGUAAAUGGCCGCUAAACAUCCAAAGAUGCUCCACUAUACUGAGAGUUUAAGAAAUGGUAAUAAAAACAAAAAUGAGACAUUUUCACCUUUAUAUUUACAAAAAUGAAAACGUUUGAUAGUAAUACCCAUUGUUGGGCAAGUUGGUAAAAUACAUGUUUAUUAGAGCAUUUUUUUAAUCACUUCAAAACAUUGAAAAAUGGUUAAAAUAUAUUGUAUGAUUUCAUACCAUCUACUCUUCUAAAAUAUAUUUGGGUGGGGUUUAAUUUGGAUAUAUUUUAAUUUCAUGAAAAAAAUUGUUGCUGAUGUACUGUGAAAUAUAAAAUUACAUAUUCAAUAUGUAAACCAUGUAAAUACAUAUGUGUGCCCAGGAAAGAUACCAUAAGGAAAUUAUUAUGCCAUUUUGCUUUACAUUUUUCAUUUUCCAAAUUUUCUAUGUUGACCAAUCAGAAAAAAAGCAGUGAACAUUAAUAAACAAAAGACACCUCAUGUAAUCCUGUAAGCACUGGUAUAAUGGUAGCAUUACUCCACACUCUGAUAUAUCUUGGAGAUGCCAUAUCAGUUUAUAUAGAGAAAUACUCUGUUCUUUUAAAUGCCAUUGUAAUAGUAAAGUGAACUAUUGAUGAACAUUUAAGUUGUUUAUAAUCUUUUGCUCUUAUCAACAUUGGCAAAAUAAAUAAUUUGUACCUAUCUCAUUUCAAUGUAUAUAACUCUACCUGUAGGAGAAAUCCGUAGAAGUGGAAUUUCUGGGUCAAAGUAUUUUUGCAUUCGUAAUUUUUAUACACACUGCCAAAAUGCCCUUCAUAGAAUUUGAUUCAUCAAACACUCCCAUAAUUAAUGUAGGAUAGUACCUCCCCCCUCACCAACACUAUUAUCAAACUUAAAAAUGAAGUUUUCUUUAGAAACAUUUGUAUUUCUUUUUCUAGGAAUUGCCUGUUCAUAUCUUUCUGUCUUUAUAGAUAGCUAAGAAAAUUAACCAUUGCCUGAACAUGAGUUGCAAACACUUGACCCGUGUUGUUGUUGGCUUUUAACUUUGAUCAUGGUGAUUUUUGCCAUGCAGGAAAACAUUUAAAUUAAUGUAGUUAGAUUUUAUUGCUUCUAGAUUCCUUACAUGUGUACUUAGGAAGGCCAUCCCCUCCUUGAGGUUGUAAAAUAGUUCUUCCGUGGCUUCUAUUGGAUCAAAAUUUAAAUGUUUGAGAUGUGGAUCCAAUUUUAUUUUUUUCGGUGGCCACCCAGUUAACCAAACUGAAUUUAUUGAAUAAUCCGUACUUUCCUCCAUUGACUUGAGAUGCCACCUUUAUCACAUAUUAAAUUCCAUAUAUGUUAAGGCUGAUUUUUGGGAUUUCUGUUCUGUAUUACUGAAUUGUCUGUCAACUCAUUUGCCAGUACCAUAGUGUUUUAUUUAUUGCAGGCUUUUUUUUUUUUUUUGCUGAGGGUGAUUUGCCCUGAACUAACAUCUGCUGUCAAUCUCUUUUGAGCAGAAAGAGGAGAAAAAUCUUCCUCUUUUUGUAUGUGAGCUCCCACCACAGCAUGGCCACUGACAGACGAGUGGUGUAGGUCCGUGCCUGGGAACUGAACCUAGGCCACCAAAGCAGAGCAUGCCUAACUUAACCACUAGGCCACUGGGGCUGGCCCUAUUGCAGGUUUAUAAUGUAUUUCAAUGUGUCAGAGGGCUUGUCCCCCUUCAUUAUCCUUUUUCAGAAUUUUCCGGGUUAUUCUUGCUUGUUUAGUUUAUUUUUGAAAAUCAACUUGUGAGAUUGUUAAAUUUAUAGAUUAACUUAAGGAGAAUUAACAUCUUUAUGAUGUUGGCGCUUCCUCUCCAAGAAUAUGGUAUGCCUUGUUCAAGUAUCCUUUUGUGUCACUCACAAGUAUUUCAAAGUUUUCUUCAUAUUGAUCUUUCAUAUUUCUUGUAUUUAUGCUAGGCAUUUUAUCUUAUGUUGGUGGCCAUUAUAAUUGAGUAUAUCUUUAAUUAAAUCUAACUGGUAGUUGUUUGUAUAUAUGAAAGCUAUUUUAAUUAUGUACCCAGCCAAUUUACUCACUUCACUUAUUGUCUGUAAUAGCUUUUCCGUUGAUUAUCUUGGAGUUUCUAGGUGUACAAUAAUAUCUGCAAAUAGUGGUAAUUUUACCUCCUCCUUUCCAAUUUUUAAACUCGAUUUUCUUUUGUCUAGCUGCAUUGCAUGCAUGUAUGUAUUGUUUUGUUUUUCUCUUUUAUAAUUCAUUAAUUUCUGCUUUUAUCUUGUUUCUU